rnacentral:rRNA from 1 species
GGACUACCCGGGUAUCUAAUCCUGUUUGCUCCCCACGCUUUCGCGUCUCAGCGUCAGUUGCGUUCCAGAGAGCCGCCUUCGCCACGGGUGUUCUUCCUGAUAUCUGCGCAUUCCACCGCUACACCAGGAAUUCCACUCUCCUCUCCCGCACUCUAGCCACCCAGUUUCCCACGACCGCCUGCGGUUGAGCCGCAGGAUUUCACGCAGGACUUAAGUGGCCGCCUACACGCUCUUUACGCCCAAUGAUUCCGGACAACGCUCGGUCCCUACGUAUUACCGCGGCUGCUGGCAC